rnacentral:rRNA from 1 species
AGUGAACGCUGGCGGUAUGCCUAACACAUGCAAGUCGAACGGCAGCACAGUAAGAGCUUGCUCUUACGGGUGGCGAGUGGCGGACGGGUGAGGAAUACAUCGGAAUCUACUUUUUCGUGGGUGAUAACGUAGGGAAACUUACGCUAAUACCGCAUACGACCUACGGGUUAAAGCAGUGGAUCUUCGGACCUUUCGCGAUUGAAUGAGCCGAUGUCGGAUUAGCUAGUUGGCGGGGUAAAGGCCCACCAAGGCGACGAUCCGUAGCUGGUCUGAGAGGAUGAUCAGCCACACUGGAACUGAGACACGGUCCAGACUCCUACGGGAGGCAGCAGUGGGGAAUAUUGGACAAUGGGCGAAAGCCUGAUCCAGCCAUACCGCGUGGGUGAAGAAGGCCUUCGGGUUGUAAAGCCCUUUUGUUGGGAAAGAAAAGCAGCAGGUUAAUACCCCGCUGUUCUGACGGUACCCAAAGAAUAAGCACCGGCUAACUUCGUG